GCAUCGUCGAAAAAACCCACCAAGAGGCGCUGAUUUUUAUCUACACGAGCUGUUGGGAGGCUGAAGGUAACAGAGCAUCAGUACGAGAGGAACACGCUGUGGCGGCCUCUAGUGCACCGGUUGUCCGACAGGGCAGCGCCGGGCAGCCACGCCGCAAUGGAUCAUAGAACGUGUCCAUCGCCGAGACCCGUCAGAAGUAGGCCCGCUUUCACGGCGGAUGAUUUCAUCACAAUCCGAUUCCAUCCUAUU
rnacentral:rRNA from 1 species